CCUACGGGAGGCUGCAGUGAGGAAUAUUGGUCAAUGGGCGGAAGCCUGAACCAGCCAAGUCGCGUGAGGGAUUAAGGCCCUGCGGGUUGUAAACCUCUUUUGCCGGGGAGCAGUGGUCCGGACGCGUCCGGAUCGGGAGAGUACCCGGAGAAAAAGCAUCGGCUAACUCCGUGCCAGCAGCCGCGGUAAUACGGAGGAUGCGAGCGUUAUCCGGAUUUAUUGGGUUUAAAGGGUGCGUAGGCGGGCAUUUAAGCCGGCGGUCAAAUGUCGGGGCUCAACCCCGGCCUGCCGUCGGAACUGGGUGCCUUGAGUGGGCGAGAAGUAUGCGGAAUGCGUGGUGUAGCGGUGAAAUGCAUAGAUAUCACGCAGAACCCCGAUUGCGAAGGCAGCAUACCGGCGCCCUACUGACGCUGAGGCACGAAAGUGCGGGUAUCGAACAGGAUUAGAUACCCUAGUAGUC
rnacentral:rRNA from 1 species